ensembl:lncRNA
CAUCAUGUAAACAUGUACAUAGUGAAAAGCCCAGUACUUUCCACAGUUUUAUGUGGAUGUGCUGACAUUAGCGAGUUUAAAUGUAGACGAUACGAUGCUGAGAGGUUUUAUGAAGCCACAUCUUGUUUAAAAUCUCUCUCAAGUGUGCAGGCACAACUUGUAGGCAAAAACGCCAAAGCUUUUGUACCAUUUGCAUAGCCAUUUCUAAUCCAAACGAGUGCCUGUGUGUGUGUGUGUGUGUGUGUGUGUGAGAGAGAGAGAGAGAGAGAGAGUGUGUGUGUGUGUGUGUGUGUGUAUGUUCUAGUCACACACACACACACUCUC